rnacentral:rRNA from 1 species
GCUGGCGGCAGCUUACCAUGCAAGUCGAGCGGGGGAAGGUAGCUUGCUACUGGACCUAGCGGCGGACGGGUGAGUAAUGCUUAGGAAUCUGCCUAUUAGUGGGGGACAACAUCUCGAAAGGGAUGCUAAUACCGCAUACGUCCUACGGGAGAAAGCAGGGGAUCUUCAGACCUUGCGCUAAUAGAUGAGCCUAAGUCGGAUUAGCUAGUUGGUGGGGUAAAGGCCUACCAAGGCGACGAUCUGUAGCGGGUCUGAGAGGAUGAUCCGCCACACUGGGACUGAGACACGGCCCAGACUCCUACGGGAGGCAGCAGUGGGGAAUAUUGGACAAUGGGGGGAACCCUGAUCCAGCCAUGCCGCGUGUGUGAAGAAGGCCUUAUGGUUGUAAAGCACUUUAAGCGAGGAGGAGGCUACUCUAGUUAAUACCUAGGGAUAGUGGACGUUACUCGCAGAAUAAGCACCGGCUAACUCUGUGCCAGCAGCCGCGGUAAUACAGAGGGUGCGAGCGUUAAUCGGAUUUACUGGGCGUAAAGCGUGCGUAGGCGGCUUAUUAAGUCGGAUGUGAAAUCCCCGAGCUUAACUUGGGAAUUGCAUUCGAUACUGGUGAGCUAGAGUAUGGGAGAGGAUGGUAGAAUUCCAGGUGUAGCGGUGAAAUGCGUAGAGAUCUGGAGGAAUACCGAUGGCGAAGGCAGCCAUCUGGCCUAAUACUGACGCUGAGGUACGAAAGCAUGGGGAGCAAACAGGAUUAGAUACCCUGGUAGUCCAUGCCCGUAAACGAUGUCUACUAGCCGUUGGGGCCUUUGAGGCUUUAGUGGCGCAGCUAACGCGAUAAGUAACCGCCUGGGGAGUACGGUCGCAAGACUAAAACUCAAAUGAUUUGACGGGGGCCCGCACAACGGUGAAGCUGUGGUUUAAUUCCAUGCAACGCCAAAAAACCUCACCCUGGCUCUUGACCUCCUAUAAAACUUUCCAAAAAGGAUUGGUGCCCUCCGAAAUCUAUAUCCA